rnacentral:rRNA from 1 species
AUUGAACGCUGGCGGCAGGCCUAACACAUGCAAGUCGAACGAGUGGCGGACGGGUGAGUAAUGUCUGGGAAACUGCCCGAUGGAGGGGGAUAACUACUGGAAACGGUAGCUAAUACCGCAUACCAUCGGAUGUGCCCAGAUGGGAUUAGCUAGUAGGUGGGGUAACGGCUCACCAAGGCUACGAUCCCUAGCUGGUCUGAGAGGAUGACCAGCCACACUGGAACUGAGACACGGUCCAGACUCCUACGGGAGGCAGCAGUGGGUAAUAUUGCACAAGGGGCGCAAGCCGGAUGCAGCCAUGCGGCGUGUAUGAAGAAGGCCUUCGGGUUGUAAAGUACUUUCAGCGAGGAGGCGUUACUCGAAGAAGAAGCACCGGCUAACUCCGUGCCAGCCGCCGCGGUAAUAC